UAGAAAGUGAGAGUCAGGCAGUAAAAGCUUUUUAAAAAAAAACAACCCGCACCCAUUUAAAAUGAGCAAAGCAGCCACAACCACACUGAAGGUCACAGUUUUCCCUGGGGACUCCAUUGUACCUGCAUCACACACGUCACAGGAGAGGCCAAUGAUUCAACAGGCGAUGGACUUCUGAGAAAUGGAAACUGAGUUUUCCCAGCAGCUAGGCCACAACUGGGGAGCUUGCCUUCAGGUCACAUCAGAACGACCAUGGACUUCAGCACCUCCAUGAUGAAAGAAUCGCCUUACCUUGGUAAGUGGCCUGUGAACCUCGUUAACUUGUCUCGUUUACCAUCCGAAGUUGGCCCAAUAGAAGACAAUACCUCACCCCCCUUGUCUCUCUAAAAGGCAAUUAGACAUUUUUGGGAA